AACGAACGCUGGCGGCAUGCCUAACACAUGCAAGUCGAACGAGACCUUCGGGUCUAGUGGCGCACGGGUGCGUGACGCGUGGGAACCUGCCCUUAGGUUCGGAAUAACUCCCCGAAAGGGGUGCUAAUACCGGAUAAUGUCUUCGGACCAAAGAUUUAUCGCCUUUGGAUGGGCCCGCGUUGGAUUAGCUAGUUGGUAGGGUAAAAGCCUACCAAGGCGACGAUCCAUAGCUGGUCUGAGAGGAUGAUCAGCCACACUGGGACUGAGACACGGCCCAGACUCCUACGGGAGGCAGCAGUGGGGAAUAUUGGACAAUGGGCGAAAGCCUGAUCCAGCAAUGCCGCGUGAGUGAUGAAGGCCUUAGGGUUGUAAAGCUCUUUUACCCGGGAUGAUAAUGGCAGUACCGGGAGAAUAAGCUCCGGCUAACUCCGUG
rnacentral:rRNA from 1 species